UUGUGGGUUCGAGUCCCACCGGGCGUGUAAAAAGUAACUUUUUGUUACUUUUUACGUUUCAAACGCCCAUUCACGACAACUUUUAAAACACGCCCAUUUAUGCAUCUUGGUCAGUUAAAAGAUCUCUCCCCCCUCGAAGAAGCGUUAGAUCCUCCACUGGCCCUCCCAUUCACCUGUUUGUUCUAAUUAUUUUUAACCUAGGUUUUGUCAUAUUUUGACAUUGUAUAUUUCUUCUGUAUAUAUGUCUGUUCAAUAACAUAACGAUCACACAAAUCUUCUUAGAUUUGUUGAUCAUUUCAUUUUCAAUUGAUUUAUAUUAUAUUUCUUUUAGGGAUGGGGUGCACAAUCUCUAUUGGAGCUCGAUAUAGAUAGAAUUGUCUCUCUCUCAGGAGUCUUGAGAUUUAAAAAUGAAAACAUGAAGGCUAAUCCAAAUACAUCAGUUUCAAUGUUCUCUUAAAUCCUAGAAACAAGGUGGGUCACACAUGGCAAAUUUAUCCACGAGUUCACCUCAGCCUCCUUCACAGCAGAGCAGGUGCUCCUCACACGGUUCUGUCGCUAUUUUCUGGGACAUUGAGAACUGUCCUGUCCCAAGUGAUGUGCGGCCAGAAGAUGUGGCUGGCAACAUCAGAAUGGCGUUGCGGGUCCAUCCUGUAAUUAAGGGAGCUGUUACAAUGUUUUCUGCUUAUGGGGAUUUUAAUGCCUUCCCCCGGCGACUAAGAGAGGGCUGCCAGAGAACUGGUGUCAAACUCAUUGAUGUCCCGAAUGUGAGGAAGGAUGCUGCUGACAAGGCCAUCUUGGUUGACAUGUUCCUCUUUGCUCUUGACAAUCCUUCACCUUCUUCCAUAGUGCUGAUCUCGGGGGACGUUGAUUUUGCUCCAGCACUUCACAUACUUGGUCAACGUGGAUAUAGCGUGAUUCUUGUCAUUCCUUCUGGGGUGGGUGUUUCAUCUGCACUUAGUAAUGCAGGUAGAUUUGUUUGGGACUGGCCUAGUGUGGCUCGUGGGGAAGGCUUUGUGCCCCCUACUAAGGUCUUUAUUCCCCCUCGUGGAGGUCGAGCUGACAUUGCUGGGUAUCUGAUAGGGUGCCAAAUCAAUGACAACCCAGAUGGUCAGAACGAAGAAGAAGCAAUAGUAUAUAGGGGGAUCUCACAAAGCUUUUACAACUCAAGGGAUUUUUCAAUGAUAUCUCAGUCUCUAUCUCAAUACAAUAGUACUUCAAUCUCCAUGCCUUGUUUUCCUACAACCACGAGAUCACAUAGUCUUCCAUCUGGUUUGAAUGAAGUUUCAGGAGGUGCUGUUGCUUCCUGUGACCAGAAUGACUUGAUGUGGGUACAGCCUGGAGGCCUAAAUUGUUUGAAGGGGCAGCUGGAGAAGCUGCUUGAAUUGUCUGGAGGGUGUAUGCCCCUUACCUGUGUUCCUGCUGAGUACCAGAAAAUUUUUGGGAGGCCUCUUUAUGUUUCAGAGUAUGGGUCAUUCAAGCUUGUGAAUCUUCUCAAGAAGAUGUCGGACACGAUGGCUGUAGAGGGAAAAGGACAUAAGAAGUUUGUCUACUUGCGGAACUUGCAAGCCGACCCAAGUGCUCCUCCGCUAGUUCUGGCAAAAAGGGAUAAGAAAGGGAAGGCAACACGAGACGAUAACAUUGAUAUCAUCAUAGACUGUCGAUCUUCAGAUGAAUUAUCAGAUGAUGAAAGGGUGGUUGUAGAAGAACAUGAUAAGAGGAGGGGUGGAGACAACACUUAUUUGGAAAUGGCUGCUCCAUGCAAAAGUCUCGAACAGUUCAAACACGAGCUUCAAGAGAUUCUUGUGAGCUAUUCUUGUCAAAUUUACUUGGGUUUUUUUGACGCAAUAUAUCUGCAAAGGUACAAGAAACAAGUGGACUAUCAGCAGUUUGGUGUGAAUGAGCUGGAGGAGCUGUUGGACAAGGUGAGAGAUGUCGUGGUUUUGCUCGAGGAACCUGCAAGCAAGAGGAAGUUCCUGGCUGCUGUUGGUGGCUAGAAUUAUUGGACAGCUGCAAUAUUUUGGGAUUUUUUACUCUUGUAACUUAGGAUCUUUUGGCUGAGGUGUCCGAACUACAGUGAACUGAUCUACAGAAUUUGUUUUCAUUAUUCUGAUUUCUCCUUCCAACUGGCUUUGUCAGCUUCCAGCGGAUGAUAAUUCCACAUGGACAACAAAACGAUAUCCGCUCCUUCUCAGAUCAUCAUAAUUGGUGCAUGUGAACAGUUUUGGUCUGAAAAUUAAGCCAAUUCUGGCGAUGACAUGAUUAUUGGUAUAUUUGGCAUUGGCAUUUGGCCGCAAUGUGAAAGUUUCAAAAAUGAUGGCAUGCCCCUGGUGUCUGUUCACCCGGUCACGUAAGCCAAGCAUAGGAGCAAGACUCAACAAGCCUCGAAUAAUAAAAAGAGGCAUUCUUCGCACCAUCCGCUUGAUCCGCUAUUUCAUAUUUAGCGACACCUGCCGCAUGAACUACUAGCUCUUAGAUUCACUCUUUCAGUGAAGGAAUGAAGCAGAAGAACUACUGACUAAAAAUCUACUAAGGACUUCCUUCGACAUGGAACACACUUCAUUGACUGCAGUCGGUAGCCUUGCAGAAGAUGAUAAUUGCUGUGGUUAUGUGAACGAAACAACUGGGGUUGCACUAAAGACCUGUCUUUCCAUUCACAAAUUGCUUUUCGUUAACAACACGUGAUUCCACCGCCAGACACAUCAGCUGGAGUGGACUAGCCAUAGCUGAUGAAGCGAUCCAGUGUUAUUGUCAUUGGGUUUUUAUUGAGACACCAUUUUAUGAAAAAACCCAGUUGAAUUGGUGGAGUUUGCACUGAUGAAAGGGAUUUUUUGGGCUUGUUCAGCUGCUAUUGUCAUCCUCGUGAUUUUAGUGUCCUCAAAAGAGAGCGCCUUGGGUUACAACUUCUGGUGCCACGACAAUUGACCUAGAUCGUGCUGCUUACAUGAUGCUUGAUGAUGGUAUCCUCACCUUUAGAGGAAAAUCUAUCUACCCAGAAAACUUGUCAGUCUUUAGUGUUCCUAUGUGUACUUUGGGCAUGGAAAUGGAAGCAACGGACUCCAAUAAGACACUUCUUCUGACAGGAUGUUGCAUGGAAGUUUGGGUUCCAUGACCUGAUGAAUAUGCAGGAGUCCGGCCAUCUAAAAUAGGGCAGAGGUUAUUAAGGAGCUAUUUUUAGUACAGAGACUACUAAUCCUCUUUGGCCAUGUCAUUUCUCUUUGCCAUACAUGGCAAUAGCCUCAAAAGAUGGAGAUUUGAUCAACGAAAUCGGAGAAUGCAACUGGUAAUACAAAACUUUUGGAUAACAGUGAUAGGCACCAAGUUUUUCUCUUUGGAUUGAUAUUUUGCCUGCAUGGGCUACCGUUGUAGAACUUGCGGUUGUUGGAGAUGACUGCUCGCUUGUGGUUGCGCAGUUGUUUAUGGUCGCUCCUGUUGCUUCUUCAGUCAAGUGCAAGUGUCGUAUGAUUAUAAUUUACUACAUGUAUUAUAUUCACAGUCACUUUCAAAAGAUGCAUAAAUAUUGAUGUGGAUGAUCUGGUGCCAAAGUUAUCGAUUGCAUAUGCAGGAUGGCAUUAAGAUGGAGAUUCAAAGAUGAUAUUGUGUGUGUGUGUAACAGUGUAGAAGUAUGAUAUAUGUGCAUAAUGGCUCUCAAAUUUUAUUUAUUUAUUUAAUUAGGUUGGACAUUAAUUAAAUACUAGAUACUACAGUAAAGAAGAAA